rnacentral:rRNA from 1 species
CCUACGGGAGGCUGCAGUGGGGAAUAUUGGACAAUGGGGGCAACCCUGAUCCAGCCAUGCCGCGUGUGUGAAGAAGGCCCUCGGGUUGUAAAGCACUUUCAGUGAGGAAGAACGCCUGGUGGUUAAUACCCAUCAGGAAAGACAUCACUCACAGAAGAAGCACCGGCUAACUCCGUGCCAGCAGCCGCGGUAAUACGGAGGGUGCGAGCGUUAAUCGGAAUUACUGGGCGUAAAGCGCGCGUAGGUGGCUUGAUAAGCCGGUUGUGAAAGCCCCGGGCUCAACCUGGGAACGGCAUCCGGAACUGUCAAGCUAGAGUGCAGGAGAGGAAGGUAGAAUUCCCGGUGUAGCGGUGAAAUGCGUAGAGAUCGGGAGGAAUACCAGUGGCGAAGGCGGCCUUCUGGACUGACACUGACACUGAGGUGCGAAAGCGUGGGUAGCAAACAGGAUUAGAUACCCGGGUGUC